rnacentral:rRNA from 1 species
AGUAAUGCCUAGGAAUCUGCCUGGUAGUGGGGGACGAACGUUUCGAAAGGAACGCUAAUACCGCAUACGUCCUACGGGAGAAAGCAGGGACCUUCGGGCCUUGCGCUAUCGGAUGAGCCUAGGUCGGAUUAGCUAGUUGGUGAGGUAAUGGCUCACCAAGGCGACGAUCCGUAACUGGUCUGAGAGGAUGAUCAGUCACACUGGAACUGAGACGCGGUCCAGACUCCUACGGGAGGCAGCAGUA